rnacentral:rRNA from 1 species
UUGAACGCUGGCGGCAGGCCUAACACAUGCAAGUCGAGCGGAUGAAGGGAGCUUGCUCCUGAAUUCAGCGGCAGACGGGUGAGUAAUGCCUAGGAAUCUGCCUGGUAGUGGGGGACAACGUUUCGAAAGGAACGCUAAUACCGCAUACGUCCUACGGGAGAAAGCAGGGGACCUUCGGGCCUUGCGCUAUCAGAUGAGCCUAGGUCGGAUUAGCUAGUUGGUGAGGUAAUGGCUCUCCAAGGCGACGAUCCGUAACUGGUCUGAGAGGAUGAGUAGUCACACUGGAACUGAGACACGGUCCAGACUCCUACGGGAGGCAGCAGUGGGGAAUAUUGGACAAUGGGCGAAAGCCUGAUCCAGCCAUGCCGCGUGUGUGAAGAAGGUCUUCGGAUUGUAAAGCACUUUAAGUUGGGAGGAAGGGUUGUAGAUUAAUACUCUGCAAUUUUGACGUUACCGACAGAAUAAGCACCGGCUAACUCUGUGCCAGCCGCCGCAGUAAGAC